CCUACGGGUGGCAGCAGUGGGGGAUAUUGCACAAUGGGGGAAACCCUGAUGCAGCGACGCCGCGUGUGGGAAGACGGUCCUCUGGAUUGUAAACCACUGUCCCCAGGGACGAAAAUGACGGUCCCUGGGGAGAAAGCUCCGGCUAACUACGUGCCAGCAGCCGCGGUAAUACGUAGGGAGCGAGCGUUGUCCGGAUUUCCUGGGUGUCAAGGGAGCGUAGGCGGGGAUGCAAGUUGGGUGUCAAAACUACCGGCUCAACUGGUAGUCGCACUCAAAACUGCAGCUCUUGAGUGAAGGAGAGGUAGGCGGAAGUCCUAGUGUAGCGGUGAAAUGCGGAGAUAUUAGGAGGAACACCAGUGGCGAAGGCGGCCUGCUGGGCUUUAACUGACGCUGAGGCUCGAAAGUGUGGGGAGCAAACAGGAUUAGAUACCCUUGUAGUC
rnacentral:rRNA from 1 species